AACGAACGCUGGCGGCAUGCCUAACACAUGCAAGUCGAACGAAGCCUUCGGGCUUAGUGGCGCACGGGUGCGUAACGCGUGGGAAUCUGCCCUUGGGUUCGGAAUAACAGUUAGAAAUGACUGCUAAUACCGGAUGAUGUCUUCGGACCAAAGAUUUAUCGCCCAAGGAUGAGCCCGCGUAGGAUUAGGUAGUUGGUGGGGUAAUGGCCCACCAAGCCGACGAUCCUUAGCUGGUCUGAGAGGAUGAUCAGCCACACUGGGACUGAGACACGGCCCAGACUCCUACGGGAGGCAGCAGUGGGGAAUAUUGGACAAUGGGCGAAAGCCUGAUCCAGCAAUGCCGCGUGAGUGAUGAAGGCCUUAGGGUUGUAAAGCUCUUUUACCAGGGAUGAUAGUGACAGUACCUGGAGAAUAAGCUCCGGCUAACUCCGUGCCAGCCGCCGCUGUAA
rnacentral:rRNA from 1 species